CAGCUCCUGCAGGUAGGGUCAGCUUUCCAAGACCAUCUCUUGGAAAGUCCUUUGAAGGACUGAAGCUCAUCACCUGUGCUGAGAACCUGGAAGGUGAAACUAAAGUUGGCAAGGUUGGGACUAAAUUCAAGAUGCCUGCCUUUACAUUUUAAGCUUUCUCUGUUAUUCCAUAACAUAAGAAACAGAAAUACAAAAGUGAACAUCAGUUGGGAAGAUCUGAAUAGUUAAAGCAGAAUUUCUCAAGUUGGCUGUGAAUUGAUGCUAACAUUGUCACCAGGUGUUAUAGCCUUGCAAGCUCAUCAUCUGGGACAAAGCAUCUUGAUGAUGGGAGUGUGUUGUUAUGGAGACAAUGAAAUGAUAAAUAGUUAAUAAUGCUCAAGGGAAUAAAAAGCCUCCCUUGAUGCUGGUUUUGCCUUCCAUUUUAAGGCUUUUGUUUCC